AAAAAAGAUGUCUUUCUUCCAAAUUUUUCACAGUUAUCUUUAAAAGAGACUUUUGCAUUUUUUUUGUUUCCAGGUUAAUACAAGUUAUGAAGUCUUUGUUCUUAUGUAGAACAUGAUCCGUAUGCCUAACCUGUUUGUUUAUUGGGGGUCAUUUAUCUUUGCUGUGUCUUUUAAGUUACUGUAUGUGGUAGAAAGAAAGUAAAUUUAUGCAGUGCUGUAAUGACAAUCUUGUAAUGGUGUUAUAGUUGUUCAGUCAUCCUGCUAAAUUAUUACUCAUAUUUGUUUUUUAAUACAUACUUUUUGUUACUCUAUAAAUAGUAUAAUACCCACAACUAACCCAAAAGCUACCACUCCCAGAGUUUGCAUCAACUGGCUGUAUGUAUGCUGCUAAAUCAACAAGAACUACCAGGUCAAGCCU